rnacentral:misc_RNA from 1 species
GUUUGCCUCACCAAGACGAGGGGCAUACCGCUGCAUUGCCGACGAUCCCGAAGAAGCAAAGGAGGGUGACACGUAGUGUCCUGGCUGAUCCAUUCCUGUAACUGAGCUGCUCAAUGAAUACCUGCCCCCUGAGAACCUUUCCUCUGAACUUUGCAACCCGUAAUCAACAGAACCACUGUGAAGGGUGGUGUAUCUCUUAAUAAUAUGACUGAUGUCCUCAUCAACAGCAGUGCUACCUG